rnacentral:rRNA from 1 species
ACGGGUGAGUAAUGCUUAGGAAUCUGCCUAUUAGUGGGGGACAACAUCUCGAAAGGGAUGCUAAUACCGCAUACGUCCUACGGGAGAAAGCAGGGGAUCACUUGUGACCUUGCGCUAAUAGAUGAGCCUAAGUCGGAUUAGCUAGUUGGUGGGGUAAAGGCCUACCAAGGCGACGAUCUGUAGCGGGUCUGAGAGGAUGAUCCGCCACACUGGGACUGAGACACGGCCCAGACUCCUACGGGAGGCAGCAGUGGGGAAUAUUGGACAAUGGGGGGAACCCUGAUCCAGCCAUGCCGCGUGUGUGAAGAAGGCCUUAUGGUUGUAAAGCACUUUAAGCGAGGAGGAGGCUCUUUUGGUUAAUACCCAAGAUGAGUGGACGUUACUCGCAGAAUAAGCACCGGCUAACUCUGUGCCAGCAGCCGCGGUAAUACAGAGGGUGCAAGCGUUAAUCGGAUUUACUGGGCGUAAAGCGCGCGUAGGCGGCCAAUUAAGUCAAAUGUGAAAUCCCCGAGCUUAACUUGGGAAUUGCAUUCGAUACUGGUUGGCUAGAGUGUGGGAGAGGAUGGUAGAAUUCCAGGUGUAGCGG